rnacentral:rRNA from 1 species
AACGAACGCUGGCGGCAUGCCUAACACAUGCAAGUCGAACGACACCUUCGGGUCUAGUGGCGCACGCGUGCGUAACGCGUGGGAACCUGCCCUUAGGUUCGGAAUAACUCCCCGAAAGGGGUGCUAAUACCGGAUAAUGUCUUCGGACCAAAGAUUUAUCGCCUUUGGAUGGGCCCGCGUUGGAUUAGCUAGUUGGUAGGGUAAAAGCCUACCAAGGCGACGAUCCAUAGCUGGUCUGAGAGGAUGAUCAGCCACACUGGGACUGAGACACGGCCCAGACUCCUACGGGAGGCAGCAGUGGGGAAUAUUGGACAAUGGGCGAAAGCAUGAUCCAGCAAUGCCGCGUGAGUGAUGAAGGCCUUAGGGUUGUAAAGCUCUUUUACCCGGGAUGAUAAUGACAGUACCGGGAGAAUAAGCUCCGGCUAACUCCGUG